AGUGGGAUAGCUGGGUCAAAUGGUGGUUCUAUUCCAAUUUCUGAGGAAUCUCCAUACUGCUUUCCAGAUUGGUUGCACCAAUAUACAGUCCAACCAGCAAU
rnacentral:pre_miRNA from 1 species